UUGGCUUAUAGCUCAACCGGCAGAGCACUGGGUUGUUACCCCGGGGGUUCCUGGUUCGAAUCCAGGUAG
rnacentral:tRNA from 1 species